rnacentral:ncRNA from 1 species
UUGGGAGAAGUAUAGAUGUUCUUAGAACUCUGUUAAAUACACAGCCAAGAAACGGCACGGAUGCCGUUUUAGCUGUCAUAGCACAAGGAUGUGCGUUUGGCAGCGUUGGCGAAAUGCAUAAAUAACUUUUGCAGAGUUCUUAGAACAUCUUAC